rnacentral:lncRNA from 1 species
AUGUUCACGGGGCCGGUAGGUGGGGGGAGCAGGGGGUGUAAUAACUCUGGACUACCUGCUCACUUUUUCUGCAAAUAUAGAACUGCUCUAAAAAUAAAGCCGACCAGUGUUUUAAAAAGCCGAACCUCAACUGUCCCCAAGGUCCCUUGGCUCCCCUCUUCGAGGGGACGCAGAAGGUUCACCGGGGCUAAGGAACAAAAAACUCCUGGGGAGGGCCGACUCCGGGGAGGGGAGGCCAGGCCUGCGGGGCCCUGCUGCUCGAGUGCUGGGGCCCAGGCCCGGUGGCUGCAGGGGCCGAGCCGACUCAGGUUUGGGGAGGCGGGCAAGGCACCCCGAUGGUCUGGGGCUGGGGCUAUGCCAGCUCCGCUCCCUUCUCCAGCGCAGGUCGCAGCCCGGGCAGGACGGGACAGGGGCGUCCCCUGCACGACCGAGCAACCCCGCGCCAGGAUGCAGGGCCCACCCCGAGGAGGCUCGGCCGCCAACCAGACGGACCCGCGGGUCCCCGGGGACGGACGGGCAGGGGUCCGGGGAUCCGCCCUGCUUCACCGCUCCCAGCACGGCCGCCUCCAGGGCUCGGGCACCUGUUCCCCGGAGGUCCCGGCCCACUCCUGCUCGGAAAGACUGGGCAGCCGCAGGCAGCGGGGCGGGGCUCCGAGCCAGACCUGGGGGUUCCUGCCCCGGCCACGCAGGCACCGCGGACUCCGCUCCGCUCCCGCAGGUAGAGCACGGUGCAUGCAGGUAACGCCCGGGCCGGCCGCAGAACCAGGUGAGCCCCGCACAGGUGUGAAGGCAAGCGCCUCUGGCUUGGCGCGCCCCCGAGACCUUCCAGCCGCCGCUUCAUCUGCGGAGGAGGCCCGGGCAGACCGGUCGCGCUCCCGGGACCCCGCACACAGUGGGGCACACGGCGGGGCACACGGCGGGGGCGCGCGGUCCGGGAUCCGCGGGCUGGCUCUUGCGCGCUCCUCGGUCCUCGCACGCCCCCUGGCGCCCGGAGACCGCCCCUGGAGACGGCGAGGCCGGGCUGAAGCGCGGUGCGCAGCGCCCUCGCGUGGACACGCGCCGCCACCGCCCGCCGCCGAGGUCUGCAGCCGACGUGGCCUCUCUGUGACUUGCUGCGCGCUGACCUCGAUGGUGCAGCAGCGACUAGGGGACGAUAGCAUCCUGGACCGUUUUGCAUACGUGGAAACUGAGCCUUUCAAGGUCCUGGAGCUGGUGCAUUGA